CCCGCACAAGCGGUGGAGCAUGUGGUUUAAUUCGACGCAACGCGAAGAACCUUACCUGGGCUUGACAUCCCGGGAAUUUCCUAGAAAUAGGGAAGUGCCCUUCGGGGAACCCGGAGACAGGUGCUGCAUGGCUGUCGUCAGCUCGUGUCGUGAGAUGUUGGGUUAAGUCCCGCAACGAGCGCAACCCUCGCUGUGUGUUACAAGUGUCACACGGUACUGCCGAUAUUAAGUCGGAGGAAGGUGGGGAUGACGUCAAGUCAGCAUGACCUUUAUAUCCAGGGCUACACACACGCUACAAUGGCCAGUACAAUGGGUUGCCAAGCCGCGAGGCGGAGCCAAUCCUAAAAAGCUGGCCUCAGUUCAGAUUGCAGUCUGCAACUCGACUGCAUGAAGUUGGAGUUGCUAGUAACCGCAGGUCAGCAAUACUGCGGUGAAUACGUUCCCGGGGAUU
rnacentral:rRNA from 1 species